rnacentral:rRNA from 1 species
GCUUACCGGCCAUACCAGCCUGAAAUACGCCCGAUCUCGUCCGAUCUCGGAAGCUAAGCAGGGUCGGCCUGGUUAGUACUUGGAUGGGAGACCGCCUGGGAAUACCAGGUGCUGUAAGCG